AUACGUAGGGGGCGAGCGUUGUCCGGAAUUAUUGGGCGUAAAGGGUGCGUAGGCGGUUAUUUAAGUUUAAGGUUAAAGUUCAGGGCUCAACCCUGUGAUGCCUUAGAAACUGGAUAGCUAGAGUACAGGAGAGGUUAGUGGAAUUCCAUGUGUAGCGGUAAAAUGCGUAGAGAUCGGGAGGAACACCAGUGGCGAAGGCGGGUAACUGGACUGCAACUGACGCUGAGGCGCGAAAGUGUGGGGAGCAAACAGGAUUAGAUACCCUGGUAGUCCACACUGUAAACGAUGAAUGCUAGGUGUAGGAGGUAUCGCCCCCUUCUGUGCCGCAGUAAACACAGUAAGCAUUCCGCCUGGGGAGUACGGUCGCAAGAUUAAAACUCAAAGGAAUUGACGGGU
rnacentral:rRNA from 1 species